rnacentral:rRNA from 1 species
GAUGAACGCUAGCGGCAGGCUUAAUACAUGCAAGUCGUGGGGCAGCAUGAGUAGCAAUACUUGAUGGCGACCGGCAAACGGGUGCGGAACACGUACACAACCUUCCGAUAAGUGGGGAAUAGCCCAGAGAAAUUUGGAUUAAUACCCCGUAACAUAUAGAGUAGGCAUCUUCUUUAUAUUAUAGCUUCGGCGUUUAUUGAUGGGUGUGCGUCUGAUUAGGUAGUUGGCGGGGUAACGGCCCACCAAGCCUACGAUCAGUAGCUGAUGUGAGAGCAUGAUCAGCCACACGGGCACUGAGACACGGGCCCGACUCCUACGGGAGGCAGCAGUAAGGAAUAUUGGACAAUGGGCGAAAGCUUGAUCCAGCCAUGCCGCGUGAAGGAUUAAGGUCCUCUGGAUUGUAAACUUCUUUUAUUUGGGACGAAAAAAGGGAAUUCUUUCCCACUUGACGGUACCAAGUGAAUAAGCACCGGCUAACUCCGUGCCAGCAGCCGCCGUAA